CAUAUCCUACAAUGUACGUAAGCCCUUUUUGUUUUAAACCUUACUGUUUUAUCGGGAUUCUUACAUUUGUUGACUGAUGCCAAGCCUGACUGUGAUCAGGAUCGCAGGAUGUUAACAUGCGGAAACCCACCUGCUUUAGCGGGUUUUAAAACAGCUAGGGAGACGGCAUAGGUGGGAAUAA
rnacentral:other from 1 species